rnacentral:rRNA from 1 species
UACGUAGGGUGCGAGCGUUGUCCGGAAUUACUGGGCGUAAAGAGUUCGUAGGCGGUUUGUCGCGUCGUUUGUGAAAACCCGGGGCUCAACUUCGGGCUUGCAGGCGAUACGGGCAGACUUGAGUGUUUCAGGGGAGACUGGAAUUCCUGGUGUAGCGGUGAAAUGCGCAGAUAUCAGGAGGAACACCGGUGGCGAAGGCGGGUCUCUGGGCAGUAACUGACGCUGAGGAGCGAAAGCGUGGGGGAGCGAACAGG